GGUGAACGCUGGCGGCGUGCCUAACACAUGCAAGUCGAUCGGAGCAGCAAUGCUUAGAGGCGAACGGGUGAGGAAAACGUAGUAACCAACCCUUUAGACUGGGAUAGCCACUGGAAACGGUGGGUAAUACCGGAUAAGCUCGAGAGAGGAAAGGCAGAGAGCGCUAAGGACGACCUGCGCCCAUCAGAUAGUUGGUGAGGUAAAGGCUUACCAAGUCAAAGACGGGAAACCGACGUGAGAGCGUGUACGGUCACAAGGGCACUGAGAGACGGGCCCUACUCCUACGGGAGGCAGCAGUGGGGAAUAUUGGACAAUGGACGAAAGUCUGAUCCAGCGACGCCGCGUGGAGGAAGAAGUCCUUCGGGAUGUAAACUCAUGAAGCUAACGAAUAAGACGGAAGGGGAACCUUCCGGGAGAAGGUAAUUAGUGAAAAGCCCCGGCUAACUACGUG
rnacentral:rRNA from 1 species